rnacentral:rRNA from 1 species
UACGAAGGGGGCUAGCGUUGUUCGGAAUUACUGGGCGUAAAGGGCGCGUAGGCGGUGUGUCAAGUCAGGCGUGAAAGCCCCGGGCUCAACCUGGGAACCGCGCUUGAGACUGGCACGCUCGAGUUCGGGAGAGGAUGGUGGAAUUCCCAGUGUAGAGGUGAAAUUCGUAGAUAUUGGGAAGAACACCGAUGGCGAAGGCAGCCAUCUGGACCGACACUGACGCUGAGGCGCGAAAGCCAGGGGAGCGAACGGG